AUAAGGAACAAUCCUUCUAUCUUUAGUUUAUUUGGGCUCUGUGGCUGAAGAGUGGAAAAUUGAUGUCACUUUCUAGAUCGCAAACAAUAAUGGUAUAUGGUUGGCUAAAUGUACUGGCAUCGAGCCAUGUACAGUUGUAAUGGAUUUGGAAGGAAAUGAUGGAAGAGAGCGAGGAGAGAUUGUUGAACUCUUCGGAGACUUUGCUUCAAAAGUUUGAAUGGCACAGCUAAAAAUAAUUUUUUGACUCUGCGUUGUGGCGGCCAUGGUCUAAAAGGGAGAGAAAAAAUUUAUGAACACUGCCCAUGAAAACGCUCCACUGUUGCUCGUACAUGCACCACCACCGUCCUCGUGGCCUGUCCAUCUCUUUGAAUGUCGCUUACUCCUUCAUCCUGCUACCAGUAAUUACUCCCCUUCUUCUCCUCAUGUAAAGUAUAUAUAAUAUAUCAGUAAUUAAAUUUUCUUACAUCCUAUGGACUUUGUAAUCUCUACUGUGAAUUGGGUUGAGGUUAUUUUUUUAGUUUGAUUUUACUAUGUUCAUGGCGCAGCUAAAAGAGUGGAGGGUUUUGGUUCCCUACAAAGUGGUGUUGGUGAGGUUGUCAAUGGGGAGGGGGUAGUUUGAUUACUGAUUUAUCUGUCUUUUAACUUCGUUUGUAUCUUAUUUUCAUUAUGUGUUGAAGAAAUAAAAAUGUGUGUGUUUGUAAUAUACAUGUUCGGAUGAAUCAAUAUGAAAUUCAGCA